GGAAGGAUGGGCAGGAGAAAAGUUUGAAGGAAGAGGAGGAGUCUGGAGCAGAGGGAGGAGGAAACAGGAAGGACAGAGAGAGCAGUCACAGUGGAAAGAAAAUGGAAGCUGACCUUAAGAUUCUGCUCUGUGUAUUUACAGACAUCAAUGAGAAAACAAACAGUGUGAUCAAGAUAAAGGCCCUGAGCAGCACUCUGUUUCUGUCUCUCUUCUUCUCAGAGCGCUAUCACCACCUUUCAGUGGACAGGCUUAAAGGAACUAACCCGGACCACAGAAAAUUGAUGAGCCAAGCGGCGCAGGUGGACAGGAAAGCUUUGAGAAGCAGGCUUUGAAACCAGCAUGUAGCCAAGUCUUGAAUUGAACUCCUGGUCCUUCUGGCUUUUUCACAAGUGCUGGAAUAUCAGACCAGUGCCCCAAGAUCUGCAGUUGGAAGAGGAAGUAAUAGCUGGAAUACCAGUUUAAUCAGCCUUGUACUGGAAAGCUCUUCAGUCUCAAUAGCAGCGAGCUCCUGGAUACCCUUUUUACCGAUGUCCAAUUCUAACAUUUCUCAAGCACCCCAUCUGUAGCAGGAGCACCAUUAAAGCCUUUGGAAGUGAUGGUACAACUGCAAAGAUUUCGUUUAAAAGCAUUUCUUCCAAUUACCGUGUGUGACUUCUUAGGAUAUAGCAAUAUUCCAGACAAUGUUUAAUAUGUUAGAACCUUUCCAGAAUUCUCUGUGCCUGGUUAGGGACCAUUGUUUCAUCAUUCUUUGAAAACAAUGUGCUGAGCAAAGAAACAAUGGUCUUGGGUGAAUGAGGGAGCAAAUAGAGCACCUUUGUUCUUUUGACAAUAUUCUCUUACCUAUGGAGUUAUGUGACUGAGAAAGUAGUCUUCAGACAACCUAGAUGCUUUCCAGUCUUGUUUUUCUGAUAAUGAAGAGGGGGAAAAUGCAUUUUCACGGUCUUAAAUGUUGAAAGUCACAACUUGGUAGCUUAGAAAAAGCUUUAAUUAAAAUUUGACAACAUUUCUACCCAAAUAUAAACUUUUAUGGUCUUUCAAGGUCAUGAAUUCUGGAACUGUUUUAGAAUGCUGAAGAUGUAUAGAUGUAUCAGCACUUGCUUAUAUAUUAAAUAUUGAAAUUGACAUUA